AUACUGAUAAACCUGCUUCCUUAUGCGACCUGAAGGCUGCUUCCGCUAACCCGGGCUGGCGCUGCUAACCUCACCCAGGGAGCCUGCUGUCGGAAGAUGUCCAGAGGCACCAUCCCUCCUAUGAAGAGGGAAUACCAGUACAACAGCCACAAGGCGUCUUCCUGUGGCUCUCAAACAAAAAUACACUGCAUUAUAUCAGCAGACUGCAUUGGAGAGAAAGGCGCCAGGACAGAAAAGCCUGAGAGAAACCACCUGUCAUUCUUGGAGAAAAGGAUGCUCCGGCUUUCCCGAUUUGGUUGAUGGGAUGGAAAAUCAACCCUUACAGAAAGACAUCACCAAUUCCGGAAAGGAUGCUGCGCCAGUCACGUUUCUGCAUUUGUGAGAGGUUGAAAUCUCCAGAAGUCGCCCAAGGUUUUCAAGCUGAACACGGGAGAAAUGACUCCGGAUCCUUGAGGACUGUUUUCCUCAAUAAGGAGCUGCAAUCUUGGCUCCACGACCCUCUCUCCGAAACAUCUCGGUGUCUGGUAUCUGGUUAUAUUGUGGCCUGAGAGAGAAGUUUCUUUAGGGACCAGUGAAUUAAAAACAAAAACAAAA